CCUACGGGUGGCAGCAGUGGGGAAUAUUGCACAAUGGGGGGAACCCUGAUGCAGCGACGCCGCGUGGGUGAAGGAGUAUUUCGGUAUGUAAAGCCCUAUCAGCAGGGAAGAACAAUGACGGUACCUGACUAAGAAGCACCGGCUAAAUACGUGCCAGCAGCCGCGGUAAUACGUAUGGUGCCAGCGUUAUCCGGAUUUACUGGGUGUAAAGGGAGCGCAGGCGGCGCGUUAAGCCAGGAGUGAAAGCCCGGGGCCCAACCCCGGGACUGCUCUUGGAACUGGGUGGCUGGAGUGCAGGAGGGGCAGGCGGAAUGCCUGGUGUAGCGGGGAAAUGCGUAGAUAUCAGGAGGAACACCGGUGGCGAAGGCGGCCUGCUGGACUGCAACUGACGUUGAGGCCCGAAAGCGUGGGGAGCAAACAGGAUUAGAUACCCCGGUAGUC
rnacentral:rRNA from 1 species